GCGAGGGAAGGUUUUCGCCAAUC
rnacentral:miRNA from 9 species